rnacentral:rRNA from 1 species
AUACGGAGGAUGCAAGCGUUAUCCGGAUUUAUUGGGUUUAAAGGGUGCGUAGGCGGUUUGCUAAGCGGGAGGUGAAAUGCCGGCGCUCAACGUCGGAAGUGCCUCCCGAACUGGUGGACUUGAAUGACUCUGCCGUGGGAGGAAUGUGUAGUGUAGCGGUGAAAUGCUUAGAGAUUACACAGAACACCGAUUGCGAAGGCAUCUCACGAAGGGUUGAUUGACGCUGAGGCACGAAAGCGUGGGGAUCAAACAGGAUUAGAUACCCUGGUAGUCCACGCAGUAAACGAUGAUGGCUAACCGCUGGAUCCAUCGGUUCAGUGGCCAAGCGAAAGCGAUAAGCCAUCCACCUGGGGAGUACGACCGCAAGGUUGAAACUCAAAUGAAUUGGCGGG